GACGAACGCUGGCGGCGUGCCUAAUACAUGCAAGUAGAACGCAGUUGCGAACGGGUGAGUAACGCGUAGGUAACUGCCUCAUAGCGGGGGAUAACUAUUGGAAACGAUAGCUAAAACCGCAUACUGUGAGAUGGACCUGCGUUGUAUUUGGUAGUUGGUGGGGUAAAGGCUCACCAAGGCGACGAUACAUAGCCGGCCUGAGAGGGUGGUCGGCCCCACUGGGAAUGGGGCACUGCCCAGACUCCGUCGGGGGGCCGCAGGUGGGGAUCAUCGGAAAUGGGCGGAAGUCUUGCCGAGCAACGCCGCGUGAGUUAAGAAGGUUUUCGGGUCGUAAAACUCUGUUGUGUGGGGAGCGUUACCUAACCAAAAAGGGACGGCUAACUCCGUGCCAGCAGCCGCGGUAAUAC
rnacentral:rRNA from 1 species